rnacentral:rRNA from 1 species
UACGUAGGGCGCAAGCGUUGUCCGGAAUUAUUGGGCGUAAAGAGCUCGUAGGUGGCUUGUCGCAUCUGCCGUGAAAGCCCAUGGCUUAACUAUGGGUCUGCGGUGGAUACGGGCAGGCUAGAGGCUGGUAGGGGCAAGCGGAAUUCCUGGUGUAGCGGUGAAAUGCGCAGAUAUCAGGAGGAACACCGGUGGCGAAGGCGGCUUGCUGGGCCAGUUCUGACGCUGAGGAGCGAAAGCGUGGGGAGCGAACAGG